AAUUAAAAAUACUGUGGUUUUCUUGUUUCACUUUCCUUUUUUUUAGAGUUGAAGCAUCUCUACAUGAAAUAAAAGGAAAUCUUGGAGCCCCACCCACAGUGCUGACAGAGAGAACACUGAGAAGGGUCCCCUUUCCUUUGCAUGAUUAUGAUUGCCCUUGAAAGUGGUGACAAAGCCCAGAAGGUGAUGGAUAUUCUUUGCCUUUCAAGACUAUUCAUAGACACCAAAGCCACUGACACAGAUGCCUUAUCAAUGAAGACUCAAUAAUAUCCUCUCUA
rnacentral:lncRNA from 1 species